GUUGCAAAAUUGGCAGCAGAUACAUUGCUUGGUGAACUUUCUCCUCCCUUUUCAGGAAGGGGAGGUGAAUGACUCUCUGAACUCUGGAUCUUCCUUGACCAAGAGCAACUAACUGUGAGUGGGGUGAAGCAGAGAGAAACAGGAGUGGUAUGUUAAAGGGACAUUCAUUUGUCAGACUUUCACAUCACAACACUGCCCAAAGUAUUGUGGGGACCUCAGUUCAACAUCAAGCUGCUGGAACUCUGACCCCUCUGCACAACCGUGACGAGCAGAGGCAUCGCUGGGAACCCCUAGAUGAAUGAAUCCUGACUGGCCAUCAGAAAAGCUGGAGUCAGCCCUGGAGUCAAUCAAUCUGGGAUAAAAAAAACGUGUGUAUCACCUUACGUGUUUCAUGAUAUGUUUAUCUCCUGAUGCUUCAAACAUCCCUCUUCAUCACCUCUGUCAAACCAUCUUAUUUUGUGGUCUCGGGCUUUGCUCCAGGCACGUGCACGCACUCUCUCUCUCUCUCUCUCUCUUCCCUCCCCCCACUAUACCCUUAUCCAAUGGCCUAGCAGAGGGAGCAAUAAGGACUUUAAAGAGGGGAUGAAGAUGAUGGAAGCUUGGAAACAAAGCUGGCUUGCUUUCUUUAGAAAUACAAAACCACUCCUCAAACUACAACAGGCAUGAGCUCAUCCUAUUGUUUGAUGGGGAGGAAGAUAAGAACUCAUUUGGACUCAAUCCAUCACAGCAUGGGGGGAAGUGUUGAGGAAGCAAGCUUUUCAAAAACAUAACCUUGACAGAGCUGGACCCAAGAGACCUAUACCAAAAGUUUCAACAUUCACCGGCCACUGGGGAUUCAGCCCACAGGAAGGAGGAGGCUCAUGAGGCAGCAGCUGACUUGCAAGCCCAUGGAAACUGCUGAAAGUAGGCAACAUUCCAGAGGCACCGUCUUUGGCACAGCCCCGGGACUUUCUGGAAAGUUCCUGAUAUCCAGGCCUCUGACAGCCAUGAAUCCUGCUCUCAUUCUGUGAAAGGACCAACCUCACUUCUAUCCCUCAAAGGCAGUGGUCAGGUGGAAACUCCUUGACUCAAAACUCAUUGAGGUUCGCAAUCUCCUAACCUGCAAAAGGGAUGAUCUGGCUCAACUGUGAGCAGUAACUUUCGCAAUACCAAGAUGUGCCCUUGAGGGCCAGCUCCUACACACCGGUGGAGUGACUCUAUCAGAUAAGGAGGUGAACAAGGAGGAGUAAGGAGGACCUGUUUCAAAAAGUGCUGCAAUUGUCUGUCUGAUCAUGCAGAUAGAGAGCACAGAGCAGGGAGAGAGAAAAACUAAAAAUGGAUAGUCAGGAGAGGAUAAAGGGGCAGGAGAGAUGAUAAAGCUCAUGGAGGACACAUCAGAGAUGCUCGGGUCCCUGACUGCACUACAGUCAGAACAUAUCCCUACUUGACUCCCCCUACAACCCAUACAGACCUGCGUUCCAUGUCCUCCAUUCCUCGCAUGUUCCUGACCUGUUGCAGUACCCCUUGCACUCCAUCCCUACAGACCUGUUCCAUAAUGACAGCUGGACUUACACACAGAUGUGAGAGCCUCAUUUCAGAGACUGCUGCUCAGUGUCAUGUCCCUUGUAAGAAAUGGGAAAUGUGUGUAUUGCUGUUUAAUAAAAAUUUAGUC